UUUAUUUUGGACCACAUAUUUAUUUUUACAUUAUCUUUAUUUUUUACUUAAAAAUAAUGACCACAUAUUUUCCUUACAUGCACUUAUUCUACACUAUGCAUGAGAGGGGAACCAUAUCAGAUUUUUAAGGCAAAAAACCCUAGCUAUCUCUCACUUCUGAUCUCUCUAAACUUAGAGAGAUCACCCGCAUUCUCUAAAAUUGGAGACUCUUAUUUCUCUCUAUCUCACGCCUGUCAACCCCCCCUCCCUUUCUCGCCGGCCAACCGUCGGAUUUGACUACCGGUGGGUCUGGUCGGCCACCACUGCUACCACCUCACCUCCCUGCUCACAUCUCUCUCACUUCUCUCUCUGUUGCGACGAACUCACUGAAAAUCGGUGAACUUGCACAUGGCAUUUCAGAUCUAACAAGAUCUGGCUAUAAUUGAUGUUAAAUCUGGCGACCUCUAUGAAACUAACACCGCUUGACCGAAGAACAUUUUUUGAUAAUCUUUUGAAUGUUGAGGCGUCGUUCCGAUACUUUUGCCGUUGAAGCGGCGUCAUUGACUCUAGAACUCUCUAGAUCUGGCCAUUUGUCCAUUUUAUGCUAGUUGCCUGAAUUUUAGUUACCAGAACCUUGUUUUCAGUGACCCUCACAUUUUUCGGCGAGCUUCACCAGCGGACGACGCCAUUGUUUCUUUUGGUACUAUUCGGGUGUUUGUUUUCCCUAUUGUUAUGGUCGAUGGCUCCUGUCUCGGUAUUAUUGGACUUCGUCCCUAUGAUGUUGGUUUUUAUGUUGGUUGGACUCUUGAUUUUUUUCGGCAAUCUCUUUGGUCGCUAUUUUGUGUUAUUGUUUAUGUUCAUGGAUGUUAAUGUUUUAAUUCUUUUGGUUGACUUAUCUUUAUGGUGAUGGAUGUUGUCGGCUUUAACUCCACUGUGGCUCCCUCUACUAGCCGAAAAUUCGUUGAUGAUUUUAAGACUAUUUGCCUCUUUAAUAAUAGUAUCUUUGUUUAGGCUCAGUUAUUUCUUGUCCACGUUGUCGAUGCUGUUGUGCGGAUGCUUUAACAGUAUUCAUGUCGUGGAUUUUGUUGUGAUAUGCUCGAUGGGAAUACUUUUUAGAGGUACGAUGCCCCGAAUGACUCUCAGAUUUGGCCUGAAAUAACGAGCCGAUGGUGAUAAACAUCGAAAAGGAAAAAGAUGAGAAUUUGACGAACCAAUAGCCCUUCGAAAAUACGACACAAUUAGCUAUCUAGUCGCAACCAAGGCGGUUAUCGUUAUCAUGUCUAGUCGGAUAUUACAUAUAUCUGAGCCUCCUAUAUUAUUUUUCUAAACUAUUUUCCAAUAAAUAAACAAUUUUCCAAAAGCAUUUUCAAACUAUUUUCAAAAACAAUCUUUCAAAAAUAUUUUCAAAUAAAAUCAUUUCAAAAUAAAUUAGUUUAUUAUUUACUUUAUAUUUUACUAAUAAUUUCCCUUCUUUUGUCUUGCGAGGUACUAUCACACGAGGUUGCUUUCGGAAGAUGAUACCCGAAGACGAAAAGACAAAUCCCCGUCAAGCCUCCCAUUUCGUAACUUCCCUUCUUAGAUGUACAAAACGCAAGUACAGUGAAACCGUAGAUAGAUAUCAUAUUUGCUAGUUUACUUGAUGUUUACAUAUUUGCCAACACUUCGGUUGUGUUGCAUCUAGUUAAUAAUCCGGUCAACUUAAGAUAUUAUGUGCUAGAUAAUUUUGCGAAACUUGUACGCAGAUUUAGUAUGUCAGAUAUAUUUAUAACUCAUUUGAUUAAUUAGGAUUAGUGUACACCUAGUUAAUUAAUUGAGUUAAUAAAAUGAAAGGCGUGUCAUUUCCUUGUCAAAAUAGGCGACUUUACCUCUUUACAACUGCAUUAACAUGAUCUUUCUUUUAACCAAUCUCUUUGUAAAUUAUUUUUGACUAUCUUACUUCAAAUAGACAUAACUUGUAAAAGCAUAAAUGAGUCUACCAUAUGUAGGAUUAAUUCAACUAUUGCAUACACAUGGGUCUAACUUGAUGACAAUGUUCUUUAUGGGCUUUUAUGAUAUUUUGUACAGGGUUGGUAAUACUCUUAGCCUCUUUAUAUAUUUGUUAUCUACAUAUGCAUUUUAUAUUUACUUAUCUGUUCAUUCAAUUCUUUUGAACCAAGCUCUAGUUGCUUUCUUGUAUGGUCUUAAUUUUCUUUUGUUAUAAAAAUCAAUAUUCCUUUAUACUCAUACACUCUUGACAAAACGUUUUACGUUUUAUUCUUUAUAUAUUUAGUCAAGUAUUUUAGUCAAGUAUUUUAGUCAAUUACAAAACACUUACUCAUUUUUGAAGAUAAUUUUCUCCAUUAUUUAUUUAUUUUUUACAGAUUUUCUUGUAUAUUUAAUACAACUCAUUGUAGUAAUUAUUUGACUUUAAUCAUAAAAUAACUUCUUCAAGUUUAUUCAAACUCUUUUAGAACGUUUCACUUGUUGAUAUACAUUACUUAUAUUUGAUUUAAUUACUCCAUUGUUAUAUGUAAGAUUUAUGUGGAUAAUUUCCUUUUUAUACUCCCCUAUUCAUGACAACUUUCCCUACUUUAGUCGAUCAUUUCUUUAAGCUAAUUGCUAAUUGUUUUAUUUAAAAUAAUUCUUUACCAUUUUAUUAUAUGCGUUCAAUUAAGAUCAAUCUUGUACAGUCAAAUCACUCGACGUUAAUUGUAAAUUGGGAUCUCCUUUAUACCUUAUUUAGAACCCAAUUCUUUCUAUCGAACUCCGAAAACGAUUUUUUUUUGUUCAUUAAUUUACUUUGCAUAUCUUACUGUAUAUAUUUUACCACAAAUGAAAUGAUCAUACUUUGAAUAUUUAUCCACCUCAUGACAUUGCAUUGGCUACUCUUUGAUAGGAAUUCUUUUUGAAAUAACUAAUCAUUCUUUUCAACCUUCCCUCCCUUAUUUGAUCGAGUCAACCAGAACUAUAUUUUUGUGGAUAUUGAGGGAUGCCUAACAACUUUCCCUCGAGAUAACUUGAACCCUUACCUAUAAUCUCAACAGUUUCGCAGAGUACUAUAAGUUGUAAUUUAUUUCGUCUUGUGUAAAAUAGGGUGCAACAACAUGGCGACUCUACUGGGGAUACUUCAGUUUCUAAUCACAGCGGACUUGAUCAAUUACUUGAGGGAUUACAGGUUCUCUGAUACUCCAACUUCUAUUCUUUCUGUCACAUGCUUCAACUCAUAUAUUCACUGCUUCAAGUUUUAUACUCUUUGUUUCAAGCUGUAUAUUCAUUGCUUUAAGUUGCAUAUUCUUUGUUUCAAGUUGUAUAUUCUUCAUCGCAUGCUUAAAGUAGUCUAUUCUUUGUCAUCCGCUUCAAGCAGUAUAUUUUGUUAUGCGCUUCAAGCGGUAUAUUAUUGUUAUGCGCUUCAAGCAGUAUAUUCUUGUUGUGCAUUUCAAGCGGUAUAUUCUUUGUCAUAUGCUUUAAGUGGUAUAUUCUCUGUCAUCUGUAUCAGGCGGCGUAUUCUCUGUCAUGCUCAUGUUGUAUAUGCUCCCCACAUAUCUAAGUUGUAUAUUCUUGUUUAUCCUAAAAAAUGGAGAAAAAUUAAAUUUAUUAGUGGUUUUAAGGAUACGUGGAUUUAUUCAAUACAAACGGUAAAGAAUGCUAGAAUAAACAGAUAAGAGAUGUAAUAAAUUAUCAUACCUCUUGAAAAUAAAGGGGGGUGAUUCUGGACUCGAGGGCAACCUCAAUGAAUAAUCAGACCCCCCUUUAUAUAGUAAGGGAGUCCUACUCUAGGUACAAUUCUAUAAAAGGCAAAAAAUCUUCCGUUUAACUAAUCAUCGAAUUUCCGCCGGUACGUGCCAAGAUCCACGUCGCGAUACCCAGCUGGUCAGGGAUAUCACGACCUCCCGUUAAUCAUGUUCGGUUGCCCAAUAAUGCUCUCUGAAUUCUUUUAAGAUUUGGACCGAUACCAGGGUCACGGCCCCGAUAUUCUUGAGGGCGGGCAUCGUGCUCCCAGAACCUGUGUCAAUGAGUCCCUUACCUCGAUUUCGGCUCCUUGUCAUCACGUCCCUUACUCAAUUUAUUUUAUCAAAAAUCGGGCUGUUUUAUGAGUCCGAUUUCACCCGUAUACAGAUAGUCCCCUCGUUUCUCGGAGAGUAAGUUUUACGGAAACGACGAGGAAUGACAUGAGUUCUUCGAUCUCUUCUCCAACACGCUGCGACACGAAAUGAUAAAGAAACCGCAAUGUCCCAUCAGAAGCGUCAUAAUGACCCCCAACGCGUAUCAGUCGUCAGCAGGCCACUCCUGGAUGUGAAACAGCGCGAAUCCCCUAUAAAUACCUCUUCUUUCAUUCAUCUUUUACUUUUGACCAAGCUUCUACCUUCGAUCCUUCAAGAUAUCAUUGCCUUCCUUCAUUCUUCAAUAUUCUUACCUUCGUUCUUCAAAUUGCAACCUUUCUUUUACCCCUCACUUAAGCCAGUGUUCUUGAUUUUCUUAGCAAGUUCUCACCCUUCAUCUUCUCAUUCUCCUUCAUACCUUCAAACCUUUUUAUCAAGAUAAAAAAAAUGGCAAAGAUUUCCAAGACCGUUCCCCAGAAAGAUUCUCCUUCUUCUACGCAGCCGACCACUGAGGUCAAGGAGACCCCGCUCCUGAUGUGGUCAUCCUCGAGAGGUCCGCUCCGAGCGUGGCCACUGAUGAAUCGGUAGCUGAGCCCCUCUUGAAAAUGUUUGGGGGGGGGGGUGUUCGGUUAAUGAUGAAUUUAAGGUCGAAAAGCCCUCUUCGAUUCAAGGCCGAUGCGAGGUGGUGUCACUGUACAUCUGCUCCAUUACUAAGGCCGUUCUUCCUGCAGUUCAAAAAGACUGUGACUGGGUGGAUAAGGAUGUAGUGAUUCUCGGGCCCGAUGACGAUAUCACUACCCAUGUUGAAGGAUAUAUGAGUAUUUACACUUAUCUCUUUUACAUUGGGCCCGGUGUACCCGGUCAUCUUGGACUUUUGUAGGAGGUACGACGUAUGCAUCUGCCAAAUCCACCCAUCGCUGUGGAGGAUUGUGAUCCUCCUCUGAUUCUUUGUGAACAAAAUCGAUUCAUGUACUGUUCACCAUCGAUCAUCUACUCUGCUUGUACAGUCCCCGAAUCUUACGGGAGGGAAUGAUAAAGCUUGUACGCUGGGCCAGCAAAGCCCCAUUUUCAAGUAUCGACGAGGACCAGAAUUGGGGUUGGCAAGGAUGCUUUAUCCAGGUGAGGACCUCCGACCUGAUACCUGCCCAGUGGAGGCCACUCCCCGAGAAGUACAACGUAUCACGUAACUAUAACUCUUAUAAAACAUUGAUUUUAUGUUUUAUCUUCACUUUUCUAAUUGGUGUUUGUUGUGGAGCAACCCUCGCUCGAGUCCUAAAUGCCAUUACUCGGCUCAAGGAGUGGAUCAGAGGCAUUUGUUCGCAGAUUCCUUAUGCCGAAUGCUCAUGGCACGAGCUCUCGAAGAGCCGCUGGGAGGCCCAUUCUCACGGUAAGAUUCUACUCUCCGAGUAAGUAGCACUAGACUUUCUUUUUCAAUACUAUGUCCUCAUUGCUUCUCUUCUUUUUUGCAGGCUUGCCUAAGACCAUCGAGCUUAGGCCCUUGGUAAGAGGUGAGUACCUGCCCGAUGAUCGUUCUGCUUCGGGGCAGCCCAGAGCCAUAGCAGGAGAGAAGAAAAGGAGGAGGGCCCCGAGUUCCCCUAGCUCAAAGAAGAAGAAACCAAGGAGAAGGUUGGCUCGUAAGCCAAAGGAAAGGUCCAGCUCCCGAGUGCCUGAUUCAAACUCACUCUUCUGGUUCAGGGACGAGCCCGAGGAGGACUAUCUUUUGUGGCCCGCGAGCCGUCCGUUCCCGAGGAACAGAUGGCAACCAAGGGGGAAACAAUGGAGGCUAAUCCCCCUCAAGUUCAUGAGGCUGGUACAUAGGCGAGGGUCGAGACCUCUCGAAUCGUGGGCUUCGCCCAGUGUUAUAGAAAUUUUAGGAUCGCUCUCAUUCACAGAACCCAUGUUCGAUGAAGCCCGAGUGAUGAAGGAGCAAUCCAAUGAAGUGGCUCAUGGAGCGGACGAUCCCCUUUGAUGCUUCUUUGAUGGUAUAGACUCAACCGCCCUAGAAGACUUCUUCGGGUUGAUGAAUGCACAGUCUUUCGCUCAGUCUUUGAUGAGUGCACAGCCAUCUGGGCCCAGUCAGGGCAACAGGGGACCCCACCAACAUGGUCGACCUGGAGGGAGAUUCCAGCACUAGCGGAGGCCCCCAUGCCCUAAAUGUGGAAGGAUGAAUUUUGGGGUCUGCCUCAUGGACCUACAUAUAUGCUACGGGUGCGAUAUGAGGGGUCACAUUCAGAGGGACCGUUGCUCGUCCCGCCGGAUCAUGGGAAAAGGUGCGGCGCAACCAGCUAGUUCUGCAGCUACUACAUCCACAACACAUCCUUCAGCUCGAGGCACCCCAGCACCCGCAGGGCAUGGUGCAGCUAGAGGUGAUGCACAGAGUUCGGGAGGACCCAACAAAUUUUAUGCUAUGCGGAGGCGUCGAGAUUCAGAGGCUUCUCCAGAUGUUGUCACAGAUAUAUUGAUUGUCCAAUCCCAUGAUGUAUAUGCUCUUAUUGAUCUCGGUUCCACGUUGUCCUAUGUCACUCCUUAUGUCGCUAUGAAAUAUAGGAGAUGUCUUUGGGUGCUGCUAAAGAAAGUGUCUAAACACAUUCAGGGACCAUGGUUGGUCACCGAGGACUUCAGCUUCAUGAGCCGUUCUCUGUAUCUACUCCGGUUAGCGAGUCUAUUGUGGCUGCGAGGGUUUAUAGGGAUUAUGUUGUCACACUGCAUGUUUGGGACACCCUGGCCGAUCUCAUUGAAUUGGGGAUGGUUGAUUUUGAUGUAAUAAUGGGGAUAGACUGGCUUUAUUCAUAUUUUGCUAAGCUUGAUUGUCGAACCAGGACUGUUAGGUUUGAAUUUCCAAAUGAGUCGGUGAUUGAAUGGAAGGGGGAUGAUGUGGUAUCGAAGGGUAGGUUUAUUUCUUACCUUAAGGCCACGAAGAUGAUUAAAAAGGGGUGUAUCUACCAUUUGGUUCGGGUUACGGACAUCGAUGUUGAGGUACCUACACUUGAGUCCGUGCCUGUUAUGGGUGAAUUUCCGUAGGUCUUUCCGUAUGAGCUCCCUGGGAUCCCACCAAACAGGGAGAUUAAUUUUGGGAUUGAUGUGAUGUCGGGCACGCAGCCUAUAUCUAUUCCACCCUACAGAAUGUCACUAGCAUAAUUGAAUGAGCUAAAAGAACAAUUGAAGGAUUUGUUAGAGAAGGGUUUCAUCCGGUCGAGUUUGUCGCCUUAGAGUGCACCGGUCCUCUUUGUAAGAAUGAAAGAUAGGUCAUUAAGGAUGUGUAUUGACUUUCGGCAGCUCAACAAGGUCACGAUCAAGAAUAAGUACCUACUGCCAAGGAUAGAUGAUUUGUUUGACCAAUUGCAGGGUGCUAAGUAUUUCUUCAAGAUUGAUUUAAGAUCCGGGUAUCACCAACUGAAGAUCAGGGAGCAGGAUAUUCCGAGAACAGCUUCCAGGACCCGGUAUGGGCACUUUGAAUUUCUGGUAAUGUCUUUUGGGCUACCAAAUUCCCCGACAACUUUCAUGGACCUUAUGAAUCGAGUCUUAAAGCCUUUUCUUGACUCCUUUGUGAUAGUGUCCAUUGACAAUAUUCUGGUAUAUUCAUGAAGUCGAGAGGACCAUGUCGAUCAUCUCAGGGCAGUUCUACAGACUAUAUAUCUACACAAGUUGUAUACGAAAUUUUUUGAAAUGUGAAUUUUGGCUUGAAUCUGUUACAUUCUUGGGUCAUGUCGUCUCCAGAGAAGGAUAUAAGGUUGAUCCUAAAAAGAUUGCAGUUGUGAAGAAUUGUCCUAGACCUACAACUCCAAUAGAGAUUCGCAGUUUCUUGGGCUUAGCCGGUUAUUAUAGGAAAUUUAUGGAGGGGUUCUCCACUCUUGCCUCUCUGUUGACUAAAUUGACGUAGAAGGCGAUUAUGUUCCAAUAGCCAGAUGCUUGUGAAAAGAGCUUCCAAGAGUUGAAAUCAAGAUUAACUACGACACCGGUGUUGACCCUACCAGAGGGUACGUAUGGGUUUGUGGUAUAUUGUGAUGCUUCAAGAAUCGGACUUGGGUGUGUAUUAAUGCAACAUGGCAAGGUGAUAGCUUAUGCUUCUAGGCAACUCAAGAAUCAUGAAAACAACUAUCCAACACAUGACUUAGAGCUUGCGGCGGUGGUAUUUUCAUUUAAGAUUUGGCGUCAUUAUCUAUGCGGGGUCCAUGUGGAUAUAUUCACGGACCAUAAGAGCCUCCAAUACAUUUUCAAAUAGAAUGAAUUGAAUCUAAGUCAUAGAAAAUGGCUUGAGUUACUCAAGGAUUACGACAUCGAUAUUUUGUAUCAUCCGGGGAAGGCUAAUGUUGUAGUGGAUGAUCUUAGUGGGAAAUCUAUGGGCAGUUUGGCUCAAUUGGAGGCAUAUCAAAGGCCGUUGGAGAAGGAGGUUCAUCGGUUGUCUAGUUUUUGAGUUCGUCAUGCAGAUUCUAGUGAAGUAGGAGUGAUUGUGCAAAAUAGGGUUGAAUCAUCACUUGUUGUGGAAGUCAAGGAAAAGCAGUACAGUGACCCAUUGUUGGUACAGUUGAAGGAGAGGAUUCAUAAACAUAAGACCAUGGCCUUUUCUCUUGGCAUGGAUGAUGGUACACUAAGGUACCAAGGGCAACUAUGUGUUCCAAAUGUGGAUGAUCUCCGGGAAAGAAUCAUGAUCGAGGCUCACACUUCUAGGUAUUCGGUGCACUCGGGCUCUACAAAGAUGUAUCAUGAUCUUAAAGAAGUCUACUAGUGGAAUGAUAUGAAGAGGAUUGUAGCGGACUUUGUGGUGAGAUGCCCAAAUUGUCAACAAGUAAAGGCCGAACACCAACGGCCUGGUGGGUUGGCACAGAACAUAGAAAUUCCAAUGUGGAAGUGGGAAAUGAUCGAUAUGGACUUUGUGGUGGGACUACCUCGCGCGCCUCGUAAGUAUGACUCGAUUUGGGUGAUUAUGGAUUGACUCAUGAAAUCAGCUCACUUCUUACCUAUUAAGGCUACCGACACAGCAAACAGUAUGCUCAGAUGUAUAUCGAGAAAAUAGUCAGGUUGCAUGGCACUCCAGUUUCUAUUAUCUCGGAUCAAGGGGCAUAGUUCACAACUAACUUUUGGAAGAAAUUUCCGCAAGGUUUGGGUACUCAGGUGAAUUUUAGUAGAGCCUUUCACCCACAGACUGGCGGGCAGGCAGAGCGGACUAUUCAGAUGCUUGAGGAUAUAUUGCGCGCUUGUGUUCUUGACUUCAAGGGUACCUGGGAUGAUCAUUUGCCACUCGUAGAAUUUGCCUACAACAACAGNNNNNNNNNNNNNNNNNNNNNNNNNNNNNNNNNNNNNNNNNNNNNNNNNNNNNNNNNNNNNNNNNNNNNNNNNNNNNNNNNNNNNNNNNNNNNNNNNNNNNNNNNNNNNNNNNNNNNNNNNNNNNNNNNNNAGGUCUCCCAUUGGGUGGGGAUAAUUUUGGUAUGGUUGGACUCCUAACGGAAUAGGUGUUUGGAAUUUGUGAGUUUGGUCGGGUUCUAAGGUUGUCACGACCCCAAUUUCCCCACCUUAGGAUCUCGUGAUGGAACCUAGUCUCUAAGACUAGGUAAGCCUAACAUUCAUUGAUAGCUUAGCAAGAUUUAACAACUAAGAUAAUAAGAUAAUUCGUUAAAACUCAUAAUAACUCAAAACGGAACAUCUAUAACAUAAUUCCCAAAACCGAUGGAACUGAGUCAUAAGCCUUACGAAAUAAUCUAAGAAUCUCUAAUACAACAUUGUCUCAAUAGAAGAUAAAUAGUAGUAAAAGUAAUGACUGAAGGUGACUCCGAGGCCUGCAAACGCCAAGCAGGUAUACCUUGAAGUCUCCGAAAUGUAUGGUCAAAUCACUAAUGCCUAGCCCGAGCUGAGUACACCACAAUGGUACUCAGUAUGUAUCAAACCUAACCUCGAUAUAUUAGUGAUGAGUUCAGGUCAAGACACCUACUUGGAUAAGAGAAACUGAACAAGGUAUAGUAUAGGCAAAUAAUGGAAGACGAGGAAAUAAAUGACUAUAAAGCAGUUCAAUAAAGUAAGCUAACAAUGGAAUUUAAAACAAUAAAGGCAACAAGGAGUGAACACAUGGUAAGAACAUCAAGAAUCAAUACGGACGAGUACAAGUAGGGAAAAUAAAGAGAUAACAAAACUGUUCAACCAACACGCCUCUUUAACAUAGAAUGUACAAUAAGAAUCACAACUGAGGUACCGCCUCAUAUCCACUUUUCACAAUUCAAAAUCACAACAUUUCCUUAUACCGCCGCGUGAGCCUUACAUUAAGAUAUUUUGAAAAGAUUUUUUCCGAAAUAGCUACACGCACUUUAGCCCUUUUAUGUCGCCGGGUGACUUCAAGUAAUUUCCUUACUAGCAACUUGCACAUAAAUUCCCUCCUUAUGUCGCGCACGCACAUUAACCCCUAUCCUUAUACCGCCGCAUGCGCAUCAAUAUCACAACACAAUAACAACUCACACCACAAGUGCCCAUAUGCCACAACUUGCCAAAAUCAACAAUACCAAAGUUACCACAACGUAUAGCCCAGGGCUCAAUCACAAUGUGAACAAGAAUCUCCAUAAUAACAAAGUGAGUGAGAAUUUCUCAACAAGGAAAGACAUCUCAAUAAUCAACAACUUCAAACAAGAAUAACCCGGCACUAAAGGAGGUGACAUAACAAUAAGAGAGAUAGCAAAGGCAACUAAGGCAUAUAAGAGCAUGUUUGACAAUAAGAGAUAGAGUAGGUGAUACAACAUCAAGUAAAGCAUGUAAGAAAAAUUUAACAAUGGAAGAUCUAACAUGAUAUUUCAACUUCUAAUUAGAUACAUCAAAGAGUCUAAGAGUCUAAACCGGUCAAAAUACCCCAUAUAAGCCUGUGUACAUACUUGUCACCUCGUGCACACGUCUUUCACAUAACCCAAAUAACGUAAAUCAACCCAAGUCCUAAGGAGUAGUUCGCCCACAAAAAGUUAGGCAAGAUACUUACCUCAAACAAGCUAAAUCAACCCACUAGUAAGCCUUUUUCGUGCAAAUUCAACUUCGGAUGGCUCGAAUCUAGCCAAAAUAACUUAAUACCAUAAAUACAAACUAUAGAAAAUGAUUUCGGAUAACAAAGUUGCAAUCUUUAAAGAAAAUCAUAAGGUCAACUCAAAAGGUCAACCCCGGGCUUGCACCUCGGAACCUGACCAAACUUACAAAAUCUGAAUACCCAUUCUGAUACGAGUCCAACCAUACAAAAAUUACCCAAUUCCGACCUCAAAUCGACCUUCAAAUCCUCAAUUUAUAGUUUAAGACAGUUUUCACAAAAUCCCCAAUUUCUCCAACUCAAAUCACUAAUUAAAUGAUAAAAACAAUGAUGGAAUCAUGAAUAAUAAGCAAAUCCGAGCACAAAAAAAACACUUACCCCGAUCCAAUCCUUGAAAAUCCACUCCAAAUUCGCCCAAAACCGAGCUCUCUAACUCAAAAUAUGAAAAAUGGAAUAAACCCUCGAUUCACUCUUAUUUCUGCCCAGGCUUUCUGCACCUGCGGCAAUUCUGUCGCAUUUGCGACUCCGUAUCUGCAGAAAAUCCAUCACAGAUGCGGCUUCCACUAAAGGUCAGAAACUCCGCAUGCGCGCCCGCUCUUGUGCAACAGUCACCGCAGAUAUAAGUGCGCAGAUGUGCAACCGCAGAAGCAGGAAAAGCUCUUCCAAACAUACUAUCAAGUCCCAAAAUACUACACGAACCUACUCGAGGCCUUAAAUCACAUCAAACAAUAUCAAAUCCACGAAUCACACCCCAAUUUAAGCCUAUUGAAUUAAUUAACAUUCAACUUUUAAAACUAAUGUCGAAUCAUAUCAAACCAACUCUAAAUGAGCUCAAAUUUUGAAUGCAAGUCCCUAAUGACACAACAGAUAUAUACCAACUCCUGAAAUCACAAUCCGGACCUGAUAUCAAUAAAGUCAAUCCCUCGGUCAAACCUAUCAACCUUCAACUUUCUAUCUUUUGCCAAAAAGCACCAAUUCAACCUACGCAACUCCAAAUCAACUUCUGGACAUACACCGAAAUCCAAAAUCACCAUACAAAGCUAUCAGAACCAUCAAAAUUCCAUUCUGGAGUCGUCUACACAAAAGUCAAACUCCGAUCAACUCUUCCAACUUAAGCUUCAAACCUUGGGACUAAGUGUCCCAAUUCACUCCGAAACUCACCCGAAACCAAACCAACCACUCCGGAAAGUCACAUAGCCACAAUUGAACUAGAGGAGGCAAUAAAUAGUGGAACGGGGCUAAAAUACUCAAAAUGACCGAUCGGGUUGUUACAUUAUCCCCCUCUUAAAACAAACGUCCAUCCUCGAACGAGUAUAGAGACAUACCUGAAGUGUUAGAAGGUGAGGAUAACGGAUACAGAUAUCAUGCUUGGUCUCCCAAGUCACCUCCUCAACUGGUUGACCCCUCCAUUGAACCUUCACUGAAGCAAUGUUCUUUGACCUCAACUUUCGGACCUGUCUGUCCAAGAUGGCCACUAGCUCCUCAAAAUAAGUCAAAUCCUUGUCCAAUUGGACUGAGCUGAAAUCUAACACAUGGGAUGGCUUUCCGGAGCAUGGAAACAUGGAACACCAGGUGAACUGCCGAUAAGCUGGGUGGAAAUGCAAGCUUGUAGGCCAUCUCCCCCACUCCCUCAAGGAUCUCAAAAUGACCAAUAUACCUAGGGCUCAACUUGCCCUUCUUCCAGAAUCUCAUCACACCCUUCAUGGGUGAAACCCACAGCAAAACUCUCUCCUACCAAAAAUGCUACACCACAAACCUUCUGGUCGGCAUAACUCUUUUAUCUAGACUGUGCUUUACGAAGCUUGUCCUGAAUCAACUUGACCUUCUCCAAGGCAUCCCGAACAAGAUCAGUACCCAACAACCUAGCCUCCUCCGGCUCAAACCAACCAACUUGAGAACGACACUGCCUCCCAUAUAAGGCCUCAUAAGGAGCCGUCUGAAUACUGGAUUGUUAGUCGUUGUUGUAGGAAAACUAUACAAGCGGAAAGAAUUGAUCCCAUGAACCCCCAAAAUCAAUAACACAGGCACGUAGCAUAUCCUCUAAGAUCUGAAUGGUGCGCUCAUACUGCCCGUCCAUUUGGGGCUAAAUGUUGUACUCAACUCGAUCCGUAUGACUAACCCACGCUGCAUAGCUCUCCAAAAAUGCAAUGUGAAAUGCGUGCCUUGAUCAUAGAUAAUGGACACCGGCACACCAUGAAGACGAAAAAUCUUACAAAUAUAGAUCUGAGCCAGCUGCUCUGAAGAAUAGGUAGUCACCAACAGAAUAAAAUGUGUCGUUUGGUCAACCUAUCCACAAUAACUCACACUGUGUCAAAUUUCUUCAAGGUCAAGCCCAACAACGAAAUCCAUGGUAAUACUCUCCCACAUUCACUAGGGAAUCUCAAGUCUCUGAAGAAAUCCACUCGGCCUCUGAUGCUCGUACAUCACCUGCUGACAAUUCAAGCACCAACCCACAUACUUCACAUUAUCUUUAUUCAUUCUUCUCUAACAAUAAUGCUGCCUCAAAUCUUGAUAGAUCUUAGCGGCACUCGGAUGAAUAGAGUACCGCGAACUGUGGGCCUCCUCAAGAAUCAACUCACGCAACCCAUCCAUAUUGGGCACACAUAACCGACCCUGCAUCCUCAACACCCCAUUAUCUCUGAUAAAAACCUCCUUGGCAUUGCCAUGUUGUACCGUGUCCUUAAGGACAAGCAAAUGGGGGUCAUCAUAGUAAUUAUCUCUGAUGCGCUCAAAUAAAGAAGACCGAGAAACCACGCAAGCAAGAACCCUACUAGGCUCCAAAAUAUCUAAUCUCACAAACUGAUUGGCCAACGCCUGAAUAUCCAAUGCUAGCGACCUCUCACCAACUGAAAUAUAUGCAAGGCUACCCAUACUCUCAGCCUUUCUACUCAAGGCAUCAGCUACUAUAUUGGCCUUCCUAGGAUGGUAUAGAAUAGUGAUAUCAUAGUCUUUCAACAGCUUUAACCACCUCCGUUGCCUCAAGUUCAGGCCCUUUUGCUUAAACAAGUACUGUAGACUCCGAUGAUCUGUGAAUACCUCGCAAGACACGCCGCCUCCAAAUAUUCAAUGCGUGAACUAAAGCUGCCAACUCUAGAUCAUAAACGGGGUAGAUCUUCUCAUGGGACUUCAACUGGUGCGAAGCAUAAGCAAUCGCCCUAUACUCCUGCAUUAAGACUCACCCAAUACCAAUCCGCGAUGCAUCACAAUAAACCAUAUAUGAACCCGAUGCUGAGGGCAAAACUAGAACUAGAGCUAUGUUCAAGGAAGUCUUGAACUUCUGAAAGAUCUCCUCACACUUGUCAAACCACUGGAAUUGAGCACCCUUCUGGGUCAAUCUAGUCAAAGGUGCAGCAAUAGACGAUAGACCCUCUACAAAACAGCGAUAAUAUCCAGCCAAACUAAGGAAUCUCCGAAUCUCAGUAGCUGAAGACGGUCUAGGCCAACUCUGAACUGCCUCAAUAUUCUUCGGAUCUACCUUGAUCCCCUCGCUCGACACCACAUGACCCAAAAAUGCCACCGAAUCAAGCCAGAAUUCACACUUUGAGAACUUUGCAUACAACUUCUUCUCCCUCACAGUCUGGAGCACGAUCCUCAAAUGUUGCUCAUGAUCUUCCCGGUCGCGGGAAUACACCUAGAUGACGUCAAUGAAUACAAUAACAAAAGAGUCAAGAUAUGACUGGAAUACACUAUUCAUCAUGUGCAUAAAUACUGCUAGGGCAUUGGUCAUGUCACCCCCCGACCUCGGGGAGCGCGACUGGCACUCAACCGAGAUAACCCGGCCGAGCAAGCGUACUAGAUUGCCUUCUACCCAAAUCANNNNNNNNNNNNNNNNNNNNNNNNNNNNNNNNNNNNNNNNNNNNNNNNNNNNNNNNNNNNNNNNNNNNNNNNNNNNNNNNNNNNNNNNNNNNNNNNNNNNNNNNNNNNNNNNNNNNNNNNNNNNNNNNNNNNAUUACUAUCUUGACUUUCCCAAUACCAAUACACAACCCACACCAUGUCUACAGAUCUUCUAAUAAAUACAAAAGAGAACAAUGAUAGUGCCGGAAACAAGGCUCCGACUAUAACUCAAAACAUAAUACAUACAGAACAAAAGAUGCACGACCCCGAAAUGAAGUGGUGCUCACCAAGUCAACUGGGAAGAGAGUGUACCGCUAUCACUGGUCAAUGCCUUCCGUUGUGGAACCACCUGCAUCCAUUAAAGAUGCAGCGCCAUCGAAAAAAUGGACGUUAAUACAUAUCGAAUAGUACUAGUAUGAAAACCAAACACCUAUGCAAGGACUUGAAAAUACAACAUGAAUAUGAUGAAUCAUGGUAACAAUAAAAGGCUUAGAUAGCCGUUAAAUAUAUAGCAAGUUUAUUAAGAGCUUUCAAUAACAUUUAUAAUUUUUUUUAAGUCGGGGAUCCUCUGCAACUACCUUUACACAAAGCGGCACAGCCGCCUCACCCCAAUGUAUGCGGGUGGAGGUGCAAUCACAAUACCAUAAACUCUACACAAAGAAGCCAUGUCUCCUCACCCCAAUGUAUGCGGGUGGAGGUGUAUUCACAAUACCACAAACUCUACACAAAGAAGCCUUGCCGCCUCACCCCAAUGUAUGCGGGUGGAGGUGUAUUCAUAAUACCACAACUCUACACAAAGCGGCCCUGCCGCCUAACCCCAAUGUAUGCGGGUGGAGGUGUAUUCACAAUACCACAACUCGACACAAAGUGGCCCCACCGCCUCACCCCAAUGUAUACGGGUGGAGGUUUAUUCAUAAUGCCAUACUUCGGAUUCCCAAAACGAUAAUAGUUUGUACAACAGAGUUCCCUUUCAAAUCAACCAUUUGUCACCUUUGGCCUUAGCAUGUGUGAGUUCAUAAGGUUUCAUCAUAUGAGAAAUAAGUGUUUAAUCACAUUGAUUUCAUACAAGAUCUUCUUCCCUAAAGGGGUAUAACAUAAUUAAGUCAAAAUAGAGAAUCAUUAACACACGAGGGUUCUAACACGUUAUGCCAAUCGGGAAUCAAUUUUACUAGUUUGAAUACCCCACAUCAAUAGCGUUCCAUGUUUGAACUUCACACGAAGGAGUUUUGUAAGAACACGGGAAUUCCAAUACCAAAAAAAAAGAGUUUAGCCUUCAUACCUCGAAAGAGCUUUUCAUAGUGCCACAAUAAUGUCCCAACACUCCUAAUGAUGCCAAUCUAUCAAGGAGGAGAGAAUUAUAAGCACGAUUAGAGGAAUUCACAUGGCAAGGGCUGUUACAACUAUGACCCGACCUUUCCCUCAGCUAAUUCAAUAACAAAACCACCCAAGAUUGUUCAAAAACUUCCCCGCAGUCUCUAUUAGCUCAUAUAUGUGAUAAAACCUACCCUCAUUACCCACAAUCAACCCAAACCUGAAUUUGAAGAAUUGGGGGAAGAAAUACUUACUUUUUUGAAGCCCUAGCAAGUUCCUUUUGAUGGAAUUCCAAGGUUUGAUCAAUGUAGAGUAGUGAAAUCUAUAGUCCUCUCUUUCCUCUCUCUAGAAUAGCUCUCUCCUCUCUCUAAAAUGUUAGUUAAUCCCCUAAAAAUGAACCCUUAGGCUAGAUAAAUGAAAUGGGGGUCAGUUUAUAAAAUUGGAAAAAUGGAGCCCCAACGCAGAUCUUCGAUUGCAUAUGCGACCGCAUAACACUUCUGCGGUCCGCAAAAUGGACUGCAUAAUGGCCCUCUAGAACUGGGUGUUUCUGCUACACUCUGUGAUAGGUCUGCAGUCCGUAGACCAAUUAUGGGGUCUCAUAAUGGACCACAGAACCUCCUUUCGAAAUUUCUCAUGCUGGAUCUGCGAUUGGAUCUGCGGCGCGCAAAACGAUUCUGCGGCCGCAUAAUGGGUCGUAUAAUGGUCCUCAAAAUUGGUAAAUCUAUCUGCUUCUAUCAGUGGCCAAUCUGCAGUCCGCAAACUUGUUCUGCGGUCGUAUAGUGGACUGCAUAAUUGCCAUGUUCUGCAAACUUUUUCCUUUAACUCCUCGACGCACUGAGCAACCCCAAAAGUCAAUUCUUCAUUAACCUCAAUUGUAUCAACCAGAACAAUGAGCGACAGAUCUCCAACCACCUUCUUCAACAUGGAUACAUGGAACACAGGGUGCACUAAAGACAUCUCUGGAGGUAGUUCAAUGUUGUACGCCACCCGACCAAUCCUCUAAAUGAUUCUGUAUGGUCCAACAUAUCUCAGACUCAACUUCCCUUUCUUACCAAACCGCAUUAUGCCCUUCAUGGGGGAAACCUUCAACAAUACCCAAUCAUCCUCUUUGAACUCCAAAUACCUGCGACGCACAUCCGAAUAGGACUUUUGAUGACUUUGAGCAGUUUCUAAUCGAUCCUUAAUGAUCUUAACCUUCUCCAUAGCCUGAUGCACGAGGUCUGGUCCUAUCAAUACCGCUUCCUCAAUCUCGUGCAAUACCACUCUUUCUCACCAAGCACAUGUACAAAAAUACCAAGAAAGGUAGAAAGCAUAUAGCUAACAUCAAACUCUCGAGUCCGCCAUUUCUUCAUACUCCAAAAGCAGACGAGCAACUCUACUUCUACUUAGCAGUCCCGGAAAUCGCGGUAAGUGGAGUCCUAGAUCGAGAUGAGCAAGGUACGCAAUUUCCUAUUUACUAUGUUAGUCGAACUCUAGGUGAGGCCGAGACCCGGUACCCACACUUAGAAAAUUUGGCGCUUUCCAUAAUAAGAGCCUCUAGGAAAUUAAAACCACAUUUUCAAUGUCACCCAAUUUGUGUAGUGACCACUUAUCCUCUUCACAAUAUUUUGCAUAAGCCCGAACUCUCGGGCCGAUGGCCAAAUGGGCCAUCGAAAUCUAUGGGUACGAUAUCGAGUAUCAACCCCGAACGGCCAUCAAGUCUCAAAUCUUAGUAGACUUCAUGGCCGACUUUACGCCAGCCCUCGUACCUGAGGUCGAAAAAGAACUAUUAUUAAAAUCGGGUACAACAUCAGGGGUGUGGACCCUAUUCACAGACCGCGCUUCAAAUGUGAAGGGGUCUGGGCUAGGCAUCGUUUUGAAAUUGCCCACGGGUAAUACAAUUAGACAGUCUAUCAAAACUUCCAAGUUAACUAACAAUGAAGCCGAGUAUGAGUCCAUGAUUGCAGGUCUCGAGCUAGCUAAGAGUUUGGGAGAAGAGGUUAUCGAAGCCAAAUGUGACUCCUUACAUGUGUUAAACCAAGUCAACGGAACCUUUGAGGUUCGGGAUGAUCGAAUGCAGAGAUACCUGGAUAAAUUACAGGUGACAUUACAUCAGUUUCAAGAAUGGACCCUACAACAUGUACCUCGAGAGCAAAACAACAAAGCCAAUGCCCUUGCAAAUUUGGGGUCAUCGAUUGAAGAUGACGAAAUUAGCACGGGGACUAUCGUGCAACUUUCGAGGUCAGUGAUCGAAGAAGGCCACGCCAAAAUAAACUCCACAAGUCUGACCUGGGAUUAGAGGAAUAAAAAUAUCGAGUACCAAAAGAACGGAAAGCUUCCGUCGGAUCCUAAGGAAUCAAGGACUCUACGUAUGAAGGCCACACGAUUCACAUUGGCCGAAGAUGGAACACUAUAUAGAAGGAUGUUCGACGGACCAUUGGCAAUACGUUUGGGUCCCGAAGACACCGACUACGUCCUACGGGAAAUUAACGCGGGAACUUGCGGAAAUCAUUCUGGUGCCGAAUCAUUGGUUCACAAAAUCAUCAUAGCAGAAUAUUACUGGGCCAAUAUGGAAAAAGAUACGAAGGAAUUCGUUUGAAAGUGCGACAAGUGUCAAAGAUAUGCGCCAAUGAUCCACCAACCCGAGGAGCAACUCCAUUCGGUCCUAUCCCCAUGGCCAUUCAUGAAAUAGGGAAUGGAUAUCGUUGGCCCUCUACCAUUGGCCCCAGGUAAAGCUAAAUUCAUUUUAUUUAUGACUGAGUAUUUCUCUAAAUAGGUUGAAGCAUAGGCCUUUGACAAAGUCAGGGAAAAAGAGGUUAUCGACUUCAUUUGGGACAACAUUAUAUGUCGAUUCGGGAUACCUACCGAGAUCGUAUGCGACAAUGGAAAACAAUUCAUCGGCAGUAAAGUAACAAAGUUUCUUGAAGACCACAAAAUCAAAAGGAUCUUGUCAAUGCCAUAUCACCCCAGCGGGAACGGACAUGCAGAGUCAACGAACAAAACCAUCAUUCAAAAUCUAAAGAAAAGGUUGAAUGAUGCAAAGGGAAAAUGGAGAGAAAUGUUGCCCGAGGUCCUUUGGGUGUAUCGAACAACGUCAAAAUCCAGAAUGGGGUAAACACCGUUCUUUUUAGUAUAUGGCGCCGAAGCUCUAAUCUCGGUCGAAGUCGGGGAACCUAGCGUCAGGUUUCGAUAUGCAACGGAAAAGUCGAAUCACGAGGCUAUGAAUACAAGUCUUGAAUUGCUAGAUGAAAAACUGGAAAGCGCCCUCGUUCGAAUGGCCGCACAAAAGCAACGGAUCGAAAGGUACUACAACCGAAGAGCUAAUUUUCGACAUUUUAUAACAGGGGACUUAGUAUUGAGAAAAGUCACCCUCAAUACCCAAAUUGGGAGGGACCGUAUCAGAUCCUCGAUAUCGUCAGAAAGGGAUCUUACAAACUCGGCACGAUGAACGACGAACAGUUGUCAAAUAAUUGGAACGUGUCACUCCUCAAACGAUAUUACUGCUAAGGUACAACCUUCUCCAUUUUUAUUUAUAUUUUAUACUAACCGUUUGCAGGUGUGUAAUCGAAAACAUCAAGGGAUCCUUCAAACGCAGUCCUUGGGUCUGAAAGCACCCGUUGCACUCUUUUUCCCUUAGACCGGUUUUAAUCCCAAAUGGGUUUUUUCGGCGAAGUUUUUAACGAGGCAACCAUUGUUCGUGCUAACUUAGAGCAAUUCAACAGUAUCUGAGGCUCCUUUACAAUCAACCUCGAAUACUAGGGGGCAUCACCCUCGGAUAGUUACAAGGAAAAUACUUCGUGUCGACAGGGUCUCGAUAGCUAAAUUUUGUAGAGGACCAAACGGUAAGAUGAACCAUGUCUGUGUAGAUUACUCGAGCCCUAAUGGCAAAACAUGUACGCAUGUAUAAUUUAUUGGAAGAAGUAUUUUCCCUUUCCAGAUGCCCCAUGUUUUAAAAUUUAUAAUUUGCAAUCUCAUACUUAUGAUCUAUGGUGGAAACUGGCUUAAGGGCCGAUCACAACUGAAGUUCAAACAAUUUGUCCGAUACUCGGGGACUGCCGUCCAAAAAACCAACACGAUCGAAUUACUAAACCUCGAGAUCGUAAGACCUUAAAAAGGCAAUCCUCGAAUUUAUGGGCCACGUCCACCCCACUCGGGGACUGAUACUUCGAACAAGUUUGAAGUAUAAUAGGGGAGCAAGCCCAAAAGGCGAAUCCCAAGUUAAAGGCUAUGGCCAAAUCAACACGGUUCAGAGACGUCCGAUUUUUGUUAUUAAAUAGGCCUUUGAAUAUUUUCAUAAAUCGGUUAAAAAAGGCUACCCUUGGCUAAAUUUCUAAGGGUCUCGAUAAUAUCGACCAUCGAAAACCCUAAUGGAUACAAAGGCGUUCGAACUCUCGAAUAAAUUCUUUAUUUUAUGUUAAGGCACUGCGAAAUAAAGGGUCUCGAUAAUAUCGACCAUUGAAAUUCCUAAUGGGUACGGAACCGUUCGAACUCUCAAACAAAUCCUUUAUUUUGUGUUAAGGUACAACAGAAUUUAUAUGAUUAAACGAUAAACUUAUCAAGCCGAAAAGGGGGAGAGAGCCACUUUUUUUCUAUGGCCGUGUUGGCCUAGUUUAAGAGCCUAAAAGGCCAGUUUAUUUUUGAGUUUGAAGAAAUCAUCCUCACUCAAUUAAAACCUAAGGGUCACCCUAUUCCGAGUUCGAGCAAGUACUCACUCGAUUAUAAAAACUACACUAGUCUGGUUUCGAUCAAAAUGCCUAAGCCUCAAACUUAUGAACAAAACUUUCACAAGGCAUAAAAGAAAUAAAGACAAGUCAGAAAGGAAAGAGAUAAUUAUAUAUAUAUGAAUAUUUACAAGGUCCGAUCGGGAUCCUAUACAAAAAAGAUCAAAAGUGAAAAAUCUUAAGGUUCCUGAUCUCCUCCGGGGGCAGCUUCUUCUACAUCGAGGUCCUCCCCAUUCUCGGACCCGCUCUUGCUACCAUCAUCAUCAUCGUCAUCGGAAGUGGCCAGCAAUCCAGCUUCGGCUUCAUGCUCUCUACCUUUGCUAUCUCAUUGGUAAGAUCGAAAUCCCGAGCGUGAAUUUCCUCGAGGGUUUCCUCCGAGAUUGGCAUUUGGUGAGUUCAGCAAUCCAAUAUGCUCGAGUUUGUGCGGACUCGGAUGCCUCUCUCGCCUGGACUUGAGCGACUUCAGUAUCCGCCCGAUAGACGACCACGAUCGCAUCCGCCUUGGCUUUUGCUUUUUCGGCUUCAGAUUUGGCCUUGGCAAGUUUAGAAGCCAACCGAGCCUCGAGCUCCUCUAUUUUCCUGGCUUGAGUCAAGCUCCUAUCUUUCAUGCCUUGAAGUUGACUUUCGACCUAUGAUAAUUGGGCUCGAUUAGUCUCUUUUUCUGCAGCAAAGUGGUCCAUACCUUUCUUCCACCCCAAGGACUCUGCCUUUAUUGUGUCGACCUCCUCACAGAACUGCUCGAUCCUCUCGAUUUUCUGUUGCAUCUGUGAGAUUCAAAAUAUUAGCCACCGUUCCCGAGUCGAGCCCAUGAGCUUUUAAGCUUUUCAUUACCUGCUCGAUCAGAUCUAUCUGAUCUUGGUGAGCCUUGGCCAACUCGGCUUGAAGAUCUCUGAUCUCUUCCUCUUUCUGACCACUAAGAAGUUUGAGGGCAUUUCUCUCAUCCGAAAGCCCUCGGAAGUCAGCUUCACAUCGGCUCAGCUCCGCUCGAGACUUGGAAAAUGCCUCCUGAUGUAGAGCUAAAGCCUAUAUAAAAAGAGAAAAAGUUAGGCAGAAAAUGGAAGAAUAUGACAUCAACAAAGGGAAUCAAGACUUACCCGAUUCAGGGCUCGUUGAGCCUCGAAGAAAUGACCCGAUGCGUCACUCGGGCCGGCAGCAUCCUCGAUACUUGUAAAUAAAUCACGGAAGGGGUCCUCUCCCUCAUGAGCUCCAUCCACCUCGAGGGUCCCCAAAUAUCGGGCUUCCCGAAUCGCCCUUUCUGAAAAAACAAGGAGAGUGGGUGAGUCUCCGAUUACUAUUACCCCAAGGGAGUCACUUGGGGCGUUCUCCUCAGUUCGAAGAGCUUCAGGGUCGGUCCCUUCAGAUAUACCCAUUGUUUUUCAUUUCAGUGGGAGACAUCCUCGAUCUCCAAUGUCUCAGGGACUUUUCCCGAGUCCUUCUCGGAUAUCCCCUUAGUUCGAGGCGGAGCCUCAUCAAUCACUAUAGAUCCAGUUGUCUUUGGGGCAUCGAUGGUUUUCUUUACUCGAGCCACCAGUAUGGAGUUGUCGUCAUUUUCUUCUUCUUCGUCUUCAUCCCUCAGACGCCGAAUAGAUUCUUUCGUCAGAGGGAUGGUGUUCUUCCUCGGCUUACGAGCCGUCUUUGUCUUAAGUUCUGGAUCUUCGGAAGCCGAGGCCCUUUUUCUCUUGUUGUCUUUUGCUAGUUUCGGAACCGGGGCCGAGGUCUCUUCCUCGCCAGAUGGCGGCCUCAUGACCGCAUCUUUGUCCAGGCCUACACACAGGAAAAUUGGUUAAGUUUAAGAAAGACAUUUUGAUCGAAUCAUCAAGAACAUAGGAAAGGGGCUUACCAUGAGUUUUGGCCUCCCAUCGGUCCUUUGAUAAAUCGUGCGUUGAGCUCUCAGCGUACGAAGAGGUCGAGGCCAGGUCCCGAACUCAGCUCUUGAGGUUAGGAAUUGCACCGGGCAUCCAAGAAACCACUACAUCACGGAAAAGGAUAUCGAUGAGAAGAAGCAAAGGGCCAAAACAAUAAAUAAGAAUUAACAGUGGAAUUAUACUUACGCUUCAUAUUCCAUUUCUCUGGAAAUGGCAUCUUCUCGGCCGGGAUUACGUUGGAAGUCCUCAUUCGAACAAACCGGCCCAUCCGGCCUCGGUCCUUGUCCUCAUCUAUGCUCGAGAAUAGCACUUUGGUGGCCCGUGACUUUUGCUCACAAAGAACAGAGCAGAAUAACAAUUCUCCAAAAAGAAGGGUGGAUUUGGCCUAGAGUUAUGUGGUACUGACGACAAAAAUCGAUGACGACGGGGUCGAGGGGGCCCAGCAUGAAAGGGUAGGUAUAAACACUUAAAAACCCUUCCACAUGGGUGGUAAUGUCUUCUUCCGGGGUCGGUAUCACCACUUCUUUGCCUUUCCAGUUGCAGUUUUUCCUUAACUGCUUAAGGUACCCUUCAGUUAUCGAGCAUAUGUACUUCGUCAUUGGCUCGCAUCGACCAGGAAUCGAUGAGGCUUUAUCAGUUUUGAAGUCAGAAGUAAUAACACACCCCCCGGGAACACACUCUUUAUGUCGUGGCUCCACCGUUGUUUUGUUGCCGGCCGGCCACGAUGAAGAAGCAUUUUCCUUUUGAGGAACAGUCUUUGAUGUUUUUGCCAUUUUUGUAUGGAUUUGAAGUUAAAAAUAGAUGAAGAUGAUAAUUUGGUGUUUUGAGAAGAUGGUAGCAGUGAAAAUCGUAGAUGUGCAUAUGAAGAGGUUAGAAGAUAUAAAAAGCUUUGAAGAUUAAGAAUCUAAAAGUAAAUGUUCGAAAUAGUGGAGAGAGGGGCUAUUUAUAAAUUUCACAACGACGGUUCAAUAUUGGCGGUGGCCGACCACUGACUGACGUUUAUUUAAUGCCUAGGAAACUAUAUAGACGGGACGUUUCAGUCACUUCUGUCGCUUAUGUCAUAAGGAUGACGUCCCGAUAGGUCGGGGUAGAAAAUCGAAGGCUCAAUUCAUUUCUUGUCAUUACACUCCAAAAUAACGAGGGGACUAUCUGUUCACGCUUAAAACCGAGCCCACCCAAUUUUACUGUUUGACCGAGACCGGGAGUUUGCAUCGAAGGACGACUCCAAAGUAGAUCGGAUCGAGGCAAGAAUACAAGGUACCAAGAUCGGGAUUCGAGGCACCUUCCAAGAUCGAGCCUACAACAAUCAAGACCGAACGAGAUAAGCGAGAUAUCCGUGACUGGUCGAAGAUCAUGGCAAAAAUCUCGGAACAGAUCAAAUCAAAAAUGGUUGUUUAGUUAAUCAUGGGAUUUACUUCUGUAAUUAGAAUUGUACCAUAUAUAGAAUUCCUCUACUAUAUAAAGGGGAGUUCUAACCAUUUGUAGGCACAACUGAUAACAAAGCAAUAUAAUUUUCUUCCUCGCUCACACUCUUGUUCUUCAAUCGGUAUUAAGUGAAAUCACGUGUCCUUAAAUCCACAUUAUAAGUUUAAUUGUUAUCCAAUUUCGAGGGUAAACAGAUCUUUAUCAUUGUUAGUUGGCCAAUUUGAUGAAGUUAACAACAUAAUUGAAUAUGCAAAGUAAGUGUUCACCAGAAGAGAACAUGUAAGCAUCAAAUGUGCGAAGGAGUUUUUAUUAAUUUAAAGUGUUGUUUCAAAGGGAACACCAAGUAAAAAUCAUGGUACAACUUUUGGCAAAAUGAGAUAUUUCAAUUGAAUGAAAGUAAAAUCCCUUAAAAUAUAAUUUAAGGAGGCAUGGAUAAAUAAAUCCACAAAAUCGUUUACAAGAAGAAAGGCGCAAAUUCUUCCCUUGUUGAUACUUCAAGCCUUGUCAUUAUAUUGACACUCUGACAAGUCUUGAAGUAGGGGCAUUUGUAGACAUGUAAAAUUUAUUUUAUUCAAAUUAAAUAAAUAAUUUAGUUUAUAUUUAACAUAUACUAGUCCAAAUAAAUUAUAGGCUAAUAUAAUUAGAUUAAUUAUUUAAAUCCAAUAAAUAUUGACUUGGAUAGCCCAUUUGAUUGGGCUACAAGUGAUGAGCCCAUUUAAUUGGGCUACAAGAGAUGAGCCCACUUAAUUAGGCCCAAGAUGUCAGCUUCCUAAAGGCCCAAUUUGAUGCCAUGUGUCAAAUGAAUGUGACACGCCAAGUCAAAUAGAAAAGCCAAUAGGAUCUUGCCACGUGUCAAAAUGAUAAGGCAUGCCAAAUUAAAUUAUAAGGCCAAUGAAACCGUGCCACAGAUGCAAGUGUAAUGACCCGGCCAGUUGUUUUGAGUAUUUUAGCCUUGAUCCCCUAUUUAUUGCCUCCUCUAUGUUGUAUUAUGGUUAUGUGACUUUUCGGGGGUGUUUGAUUUAGGUUUGGGGGAGUUACGGAGUGAAAUGGGACACAUAGUCCCUAAGUCAGUGCUUAAGUUGAAAGAGUUGACCGUAGUUUUACUUUUGUGUAGAUGACUCCAGAAUGGAGUUUUAAUGGUUCCAAUAGCUGCAUAUGGUGAUUUUGGACUUAGGAACAUGUCGAAAUAUUGAUUUGGAGGUCCGUAGGUCAUUUCGUCUUGAAUUGGCAAAAAUUAGAAAAUUCAAGGUUUGGAAGGUUAAGAAGUUUGACCGAGAGUUGAUUUCAUUGAUAUCAAGGUCAAAUUCUGAUUCCAAAAGUUGUAAUAGGUAUGUCAUGUCAUUUAUGACUUGUGUGCAAAAUUUGAGGUCGAUCGGAGUUAUUUUGGUAUGAACCGACAUUAGUUUUGGAAUUCAGAUGUUCAUAGUCUCAAUAGGCGUGAAUUGGGUUGCGAUUCAUUGAAUUGAUGUUGUUUGAUGUGAUUUUUUGCCUCGAAUAGCUCCAUUAUGUGUACUAGAACUUGUUGGUAUAUUCGAUGGGGGUCCCGGGAGCCCCGGGUGUGAUUCAGAUUGAAUCCGGAACAAAUAUUGACUUGUGUGAUUACUAAAGCAUGGUUGUGUCUGGUGCAUUCAUACCUGCGCACUUUGGGCCGAAGGUAUGACACCGUAGAAGCGGCUCUCGUAGCGCAGAAGCGAGAUUUGGCUUGUCAGCUGUGACCACAUGUUGUGUCGUUAAUUCGCAUAAGCGGACCCGCUGCUUCGGGGAAUGCAUCGCCGAAGCGGAAUGGGCUAGCCAGCCCUAGGGUCGCAAAAUUGGACCCUCCGCAGGUGCGCUUAGGGGUCCGUAGGUGCAAGUCUUCAGAGAUUAAGGUGGAACCGCACCUACGAUGGAUUUUCCGUAGGUGCAGCGUCGCAGGUGCGACCUCAUGCCCGGAGACGUGAGGAUCACUGGGCAGAAAAGGGGCCUUCGAUGGUUUGAUCUCAUUUUCCAUUUUUGGACUUAGAGAGCUCGGUUUGUGGUGAUAUUUUGAGAGCUUUUCCAGGAAAUCAUCGGGGUAAGAGAUUCUAACUUGGUUUAGGCUAUAUUACACGAAUUCAUUGUUAUUUUUGUCAUUUAAUUAGUGAUUUGAGUUGGAAAUUUGGGAAAACAUUGUGAAAACUUCUUAGACUAAAUUUUGGGAAUAUGAAAAGCGAUUUGAAGUCGGAUUUAAGUAAUUCUUAUGUGGUUGGACUCGUUAUCGAAUGGGUAUUCGGAUUUUGUAAUUUUGGCCAGGUUCCGAGACGCGGGUCCAGGGUUGACUUUUUGACUUGACUCUUUGUUUCUCUUUAAUGAUCGUAACUUUAUUGAUCGGAAUAGUUUCCUAUAGUUUAUAUUUAUGGUAUGAAGUUGUUUUGGCUAGAUUCGAGUCGUUCGGAGUUGGAUAAUCGAGGGAAAGACUUACUAGUGGAUGUAGUAGCAUAUGUUGUGGUAAGUGUCUUACCUAACUUUGUGUGGGUAAAUUACCCCUUAGGAUUGGUGUUGUUUUGUGUUAAUUGUGAUAUGUGAAAGCCGUGUACGCAAGGUGACGAGUGUGUACACGGGCUAAAUGUGGUAAUUUAUCGGUUCUAGCUAUGUAGAUUCUCUUCAUGCCUUUAAUUAAGUUACCAUAAUAUGUUAUAUUCAUCAUCUUUAGUCUAUCUUCACAUACUUUACUUGUCUUACCUCUUACUUGUUAAUUGCCUUUACAUGCCUAGUUGAAAUUAUUGUUUCCUCUAUUCCUUAUUCAUUAUUUAAUCAUUGAGUUCCUUACUUGAAGUUGUUAAUUCUUGGAAUUUCUUGUUGUUGAAAUUGGUAUUGGGCUAUAAAGGCCGUGAUUCACAUUGAGGCAAAGUUGUUAAGUUGUGAAAUAAUAUUCUUGUUGAGUUAUUCAUUUCCGAUUGUUAUUGUUGAGACUUUUGUGCAUAUUGUGGUUGAGCCCUGGGCUCUUUAAUGUGGAAACACCAUUGUUGUUGACUUCUUUGGCAAGUUGUGAUAUUGGGCACUUGAGGUGCGAUUUGUCAUACAUUGUGAUAUUGAUACGCAUGCGGCGGUAUAACGUUUGGGGUUGAAACGCAUGCGGUGAGAUAAGGUGGGCUUGAUACGCGUGUUGCUAGUAGGGGAAGUACUUGAAGCCACGCGGUAUGAUAAGGUGGGCUAAUACGCGGGAAGCUAUUUCGGGAAAAUGAUUUUCAAAACUAAAUGCAAGUCUCCCACGGUGAUAUAUGGAUAGAUUGUGAAUUGUUUUGUAAAAUGUGACUACGAGGUGGUACCUCAAUAGUGAUUUUUGUUGAUACUUUUCUAUUACUUCACUUGUGUUUUGGUUGCUUUGUUUACUUGGCAUAUCAUUCUUUGUUUUCUUCCGUGAUGCAUUAUUUGCCUUAGUUCAGUGUAACUAAUCUUGGUAUAUUUCUUUAUUGCUUCAUUUCCAUUGUUAUCAUUAUUACACUAUUAUAUAUACCUGUUCAGUUUCUUAUUUAUUCCAGUGGGGCCUUGAUCUGACCUCGUCACUACUCUACCGAGGUUAGGCUUGGCACUUAUUAGGUACCAUUGUUGUGUACUCAUUCUAUGCUUCUACACAUCAUUUUUUUGCAGAUACAGGUACUUCCUACUAGCCCAGGCACAAGUCAGACAAGCUCAGCUUCGGAGAGUCCGCAGGCCUCAGAGUCACCCUCUAUCUAGUUUACUUCAUUUUCUUUCCCUUUCAUAGACACUGUUGUAUAGGGAUGAUCAGUAUUUAUUCGUAGAGCUUGUGACUUGUUAUCACCAGAUUUUGGGAAGUUUUGUUAUGCUGAGUUGAGAAGUUUCUUUUAUGAUAGUUGUUGAGAAUUUGAGAGAGUUUUAUCAAUAUUUCUGUCAUAUUCUACAUGUAUGUUAGGCUUACCUAGUCUUGGAGACUAGGUGCCAUCAUGAAAUCCAACUGAGGGAAAUUGGGGUCGUGACAAGUUGGUAUCAGAGCCCUAGGUUCAUAGGUGUUAUGAGUCACAAGCAGGUUUAG
rnacentral:lncRNA from 1 species